CCGCAAUUCAGCCCGCAUAGAUGAAACGGUGCUACGCGGCUUGCCAACAGGGCCCAGCAGCGCCGCGGAGCCCGCAAGAAGAAAGGGUGCAGGAGAGAGAGGUUCGGGUUCGAGGGGAAGAGGCGGCAGCGCCGUCGAGGCCGUCCGCUUGCCCGUGGGUGGGGCACGCUCUAGCCAUGGCAUCGCUGUCCGCUUGUGUGCCGUCGCCACCGGUUGCCGGCGGAUCCACGCCUUCCCCUCCUCAACCACGCUCCCUUCGUGGCCUCCGGGCUCAUCGUCAUCGGCGCACCAUUCGCUGACGGCUGAUCGGCGGCCUCGUCUACAUCUGCUGGCGCACGCGGCAUCUGGGGACGGAACGUCCCGGAGCGUGGUUCCAGGCUCCUCUCCUGCUGCCGCCACUCCUACGGUCGUACUCCUACCUCUGUUGCGGCACCCAUCCCCUCCCAGAUACGGUGCUCGGGUUCUGAUGCUCCCGCUAGCCUCCGUUGGUCAAUCUUGCAGCUGGUCGAAGGAGGACGAGGUCCAUACUGUGGUGUAGAUUAGGUAGUAGGUACUAGAUUGUCUUCUACUUUCAAAGCUUGAUUUUGUUUAGGUGCUCACUUUUCUGAAGUUGGUUCAAAACGCUUCAGUAGAAUACUAAUAGUUUGUACUCUAUUGGCUUUUGUGGUGUUUCUCGUGCUUAAUCAGACCCACACGUACUGAACAGCAAACUGAAAUUCAAAUGAAACAGCUUUCAGCUUUCGUACACUGACCCAA